GACGAACGCUGGCGGCGUGCUUAACACAUGCAAGUCGAACGAUGAAGCCCAGCUUGCUGGGUGGAUUAGUGGCGAACGGGUGAGUAACACGUGAGUAACCUGCCCUGGACUCUGGGAUAACCCCGAGAAAUCGGAGCUAAUACCGGAUAGGACCUUCUCCCGCAUGGGGGUUGGUGGAAAGUUUUUCGGUUUGGGAUGGACUCGCGGCCUAUCAGCUUGUUGGUGAGGUAAUGGCUCACCAAGGCGUCGACGGGUAGCCGGCCUGAGAGGGUGACCGGCCACACUGGGACUGAGACACGGCCCAGACUCCUACGGGAGGCAGCAGUGGGGAAUAUUGCACAAUGGGCGCAAGCCUGAUGCAGCAACGCCGCGUGCGGGAUGACGGCCUUCGGGUUGUAAACCGCUUUUAGUAAGGAAGAAGGGGCUUCGGCCUUGACGGUACUUGCAGAAAAAGGACCGGCUAACUACGUACCAGCCGCCGCAGUAAGAC
rnacentral:rRNA from 1 species